rnacentral:rRNA from 1 species
AUGAAACUGUUGUCACCAGACCACAAAAAGUACAUCAUAUCAGAAACCAGUCUUGGCGGUCUAACCCAGAUGCAUGAAGUGACUCUACGGCGCAUAAUGUUGGUUAGACUAGCCAAGAGCAUAGAUAUGGACACCCAAUCCAUUACCAUCGGAAAAACGCCAAUUCCUAUAACAAAAGAGGACGUGCAGUGUAUAUUUGGCAUUCCGAUAGAAGGGGAGGAUAUAGAGCCACAUCUGGAAAUGCAAACCGACACAGAAUUGUUUACCGCCUAUGCAAACAAUGGGCAAAUUUUGAUUUCUGACCUUGAAACGGCGAUCCGAGCUUCCAAAGCCCCAGACGGCGAUUUCCUGAGACGGUUCAUUCUGUACGCAAUUGGUACUGUACUAGCACCAAUAGCACAACAGUAUGUGGACUCGAAAUAUCUCAACCUUGUUACAGAUCUUCAAGACCUUCGGAAAUUUAACUGGGGAUGUUUCACACUUAAUCACUUCUUCAAGUCCGUUCACAAGUUUAGAACUCGAGAUCACGUAAAUCUACAAGGAAAUCUAAUUCUGCUCCUGUAUUGGUACUGGGAGCACGUGCGUAGUGACCGAUUGAUGUAUGCUUCUAGACCCCCACCAUUGAUUGCACGA